UGGGAUCAGGGAAAAUGGGACUCUGUUUCAUGUGUAACAAUCCAAACAAGCUAGCUCAAGCAUGUUCUCCAGGUUAUUACAAGAGCAGUAGGAGAACAAGCCCCAACAUAGAAGCAUUGUUCAAACUUAUAUGUCACACAUCACAUGUGCUAACAUCCCACUGCCAAAUCAAGCCACAUGGCUGAGCCAGGAGUCAACUGAGGCCAUUGAUGUAAGCAAAUCUACCCUAGACACAUGGAUCUCAUAUGCCCAACACCCUUUCUUCCUCCAUGGGUGCAGGAAACAUUGGUGGCAAGACUUUCACUUUUUUAAGGGAAAUAUUUAACAUUAUGGCAUCCAUUUGCAAACAGCAUUGAAAAUAAACCCAUAUUCUAAGGAAUAUGAAAAAUGUUUUUUGGGUUAACAUGUAGGUGAAAGAACUAAAUAAGACCUGGCUUUAAAAAAACUAAUCUUGAAAACAAAUAAUUUAUUUUCUUUUUUCUUUAAGGUAAAUUCAGAAUUUCCUUUGGAACAAGUUUGGUUGAAAUAAGGAGCCAACAUCCAAAUCUGAAUCCUUAUAAAGUCAUCUUUUUUAUAAUUUAUAAGAAUCUUAGCCAGCCCCUGCAAAUCAACUAAUUUCAGAGAAAUCUUCUUUUUAACCUUCUGGAGUGAGGAUAAAAAUUCAAAUUUUCCUAAAGAAGAGGAAAAAAAAUGAGUUAAACCACAAAGCCAGGGUUAUUUCUCCUAGGCAACUGGAUUAAGGCCAAAGAUCCCAAUGGCAGGGCCAGUUGACUUUAUGACACUCACAUGCUUAGAUGGCACCUUAUUCUCCCAAUACCAAAUGUCUGAAUGUUUUCAGUGUUUUAUAGACCAAACAUUUGGAUGCUUGACCACAUUUUUCCAUUUUCCAUCUGGAAAAGAAUGAACACUGUCUGAGAUUUGUCUCUUAGACUUCCUAAGAAGAUGACCUUGAAUGCCUUAGAAGCGGCAUCAAUUCAACCCAGCACAAAUUGCAGUGACUGUCCUUACAAUCAGCUGCCUAAAGGGCAUCUGUGUUAGGUAAUCCAGAGCAUUUGAAUAAAAAUUAAGGUUGAAGGAAUUAAGAUGGAAUUGGGAGUUUAUUACGUGUUCACUAUGUGCUGGGCCCUUUUAAAUAUAUUAACAUUACCUAGGAUACCAUUGGCCUUCACUUUGCACUUAAGAAAUGAAGUUCCAUGUGCUUAAAUGAUUCACUCAAAGUCACAUGGCUGGUCAAGAAUCGAGCACCCUGUCAUGCCCUUGAGAAGCCUGCAAGCACAGUGUCUGCCACACAGAUGUCUUCUUUCAGGCAUCUGUUUAGACACACACACAAAUCAAGUUUGAAGAGUUAUGAAAAGGAAACCGCUCCCUGCGAUGUCUGUGAUGUGUGUGCCCGCACACGUACACACGCCUGCCUCUCCUCCCAGCCUGCUCAGUCCUGUCCACCUAACCAUCCUCUAGGACCUUCUCCUCAUGUUGGCGAGAGAAUUCUUAGGAGUUGCCUUCCUUUUUACAGACAGUGUCUGACCUGAGCGAUCACAGCUUGUCUGUCUGACCUCAGUGGAGCUUCUUAAACACAGUUGGCCUCUACCUGCCUGGAUGUCAGAAAGGCGGCUGUGAUGAAAAUGGCUUCCACCUUCAUCAAGGACAUAACAAGCACCAGGCAACCAGCAGUGCCCAAGAGAGAGAGGCGGCUCUGUGCUUCAUCUCCACUGACUGGUCAAAAGGGCAGCUACACUCAAGGUGGAAUUUACACAGUGACUAAAACUGAUGCUGCGCACAUUCCUUGAGUCAAACGGACCGCUAACCAUUGUGAGAUGGCAGAAAUGUCGCCUUUCCUCUCCAAACCCCAGUUUCCUGAAUAGUAAAAUGGAAAAGAUACAAACUAACUAACUCGUAGCAGCAUAGGGAGAAAUAAACUCAAAAGCUAACAAAAUGUGAGGUAUUUGCUGUUUCAUUAUUUUUAUUUUAUUUAUUUUAUUAAGAGACAGGAAUGGCCUUGCUCUGUCGCCCAGGAUGGAGUGCAGUGGCGCAAUUGUUACUGGUGGUGAAUCCCUACAGGUCUGCAGCAACCUCGAUUCUUGCCUCCUCAGAAGAAAGAAUUCAAAUGAGGCGCAUAAGGCAGAAGGAGAGAACAAAGCAAGUUUUAGAGCAGGAGUGAAAGUUUAUUAAAAAGUUUUCUGGCAGG
rnacentral:lncRNA from 1 species